rnacentral:rRNA from 1 species
GAGUUUGAUCGUGGCUCAGAUUGAACGCUGGCGGCAGGCCUAACACAUGCAAGUCGAGCGGAUGACGGGAGCCUGCUCCUUGAUUCAGCGGCGGACGGGUGAGUAAUGCCUAGGAAUCUGCCUGGUAGUGGGGGACAACGUUUCGAAAGGAACGCUAAUACCGCAUACGUCCUACGGGAGAAAGCAGGGGACCUUCGGGCCUUGCGCUAUCAGAUGAGCCUAGGUCGGAUUAGCUAGUUGGUGGGGUAAUGGCUCACCAAGGCGACGAUCCGUAACUGGUCUGAGAGGAUGAUCAGUCACACUGGAACUGAGACACGGUCCAGACUCCUACGGGAGGCAGCAGUGGGGAAUAUUGGACAAUGGGCGAAAGCCUGAUCCAGCCAUGCCGCGUGUGUGAAGAAGGUCUUCGGAUUGUAAAGCACUUUAAGUUGGGAGGAAGGGCAGUAAGUUAAUACCUUGCUGUUUGACGUUACCGACAGAAUAAGCACCGGCUAACUCUGUG